rnacentral:tRNA from 1 species
CGGGUGAGUGCGGGAGGGCUGGGGCGGUUCGGGCUCGCCCAGGAUCGCGGUCCGCGGUGUCGUCGUGGUCAUCCGGC